GUGUGGAGAGUGACCUGUGCUCACACACAGGCGUCUUGGUGGCGGCAGCAGCAGCCUUAGCGUCUCAUGCCCGUCUCUGGGGUCCACGCUUAAAACCCCCCUCUCUGGAGCUCCUUUAAGCAGCGCUCUGAAUCCCCUCUCCUCGCGGACCAGGAAAUAAAGAGGCAAGAAAAAGUCUCUUGCCUCUUCAGCAGCUGCAGACUUUUUCCAGGACUCCCUCCCGGCCAGCUGUGGCGCACUAGCCCCUUAAGGCUGUGUUCACGCCGCCAACCCCUGUCCUCUCCUGGGAUCUGACCUCCGAAGCCCAAGCCUCAGCCCCCAGCCCCCGCCCGCCCUGGCGGGUGAGCAGACAAGCCUCUCGGGCUGCCAGAGGCAGCGCACACCCUGAGCAGACCCUGAGCAGUGAAAGUGGGACCGCCAAGCUGCUUACCUGGAACUACACUCAGCAUCACGGCAUCAAGUCGCCAGAGCUUUGAACUGGGUUUGAGCGUCUGUGUUUUAUCUCAGUUCAUUUUGUGCAUCCCUUAGCAAGAUGUGUCCUAAGAUCCACCAUACUGGUCAGCAGGGGCUCUUCUCCCAAGGCAUCUCCAGGACACGGGCUGAAGGAAGCUUUCAUCAUCUUUAGCUGUGCCAUCUGGAACAUGUGGCCACAGCAGUUGUCAUCGCAAGGAAAAAAGGAAUUGACAUCAUUCAAAGGCUUUCCACUUCCCCAAUCCAGAAGUGAACACAUCAUUUCUGCUCAUAUGUAAAUGGCACGGAAUAGUCACAUGGCCCCUGGCAGGGGGUGAGAAAUC